GGGCAUUUGUGCUGAUCGUGAAUCUGCAGUCAUGAAUGAUGAUGUUGAGGUUUGGGGUAUUAUGGGAAUGUACGUGUGCAGUAGCUAAGGCCGUGAUGGUAUAGUAUAAAUUGCUGUUUGGCAUCAUACCGCUUGAAAGUAGCUUUUGAGAUGGCUUUAAGAAUCUUGUUAUGAUCAUUGCUGUAGUUCUUUCAUGACGAUGAUAAAAAAAAAAGGCAGCAGGACACUUUGUUGUCACGUGUCCUAUAAUCGAGGUCAGUCUGCUUAAAUCAUACAAGAUGCUGCAGUUUAGGGACCGUAGAUGCAUCAUUUAACAUAAGGUACUCCCUAUGCAGGUGAUUUUUCUCCGAGGUUGGUGAUUUGUUGAGGUACUCGCUUCAUUAUGAUAUGCGUGGGAGAUCAAAGGUAUCUUAGAUUGAUGUUUGACUCUCUCUUUUUUCCUUUUCUUUUUUCCCUGGAAUUAUUAGUGUCUUCCUGUGGCUGGAAAAACUUCACUCUUUCAGGGAACAGCCGAAGUUGUAUUUGCACUCCAAACAGAUAUUCUAGCAGCUAUCAAGAGAUACAAUAAUGUUCAGCUUGAUGGGAAGCCCCUGAAAAUUGAGCUUGUAGGGGUUAAUGUGAUAACUCCUGUCCCUGUGCUUGUAACAACAACUACCAACUUGGCAAAACCAAAUAAUUUCAUUAGAAGGGAAGAAAAAAAGGUUUAAAAGUGCUAACCAGUGGCAUGAUGUAAUUGCAUCAGCAAUAUUUGCAUGCAUGCAUGAUGCAAAGGAGCAACAUAACUCAUGAAGUGGUUAGAAUAACACCACAUAGCAUCUCACAGUGACUGGUAGGAAAGGGGAGAAAACUAAUAAGGAAUAAACUUCGCUCCAGGGUUUAUAAGUAUCCAAUUUUGUUGUCGAUGAUAUCACGCCUUGCAUUUCUCUAUUGGAAGUGGCCUUGGUUUUCAGGGGAAUUUGCAUCUUGGUGUUUCCCUUGGUAUUUUAAUGCACGUGAUCUUUGAAUUAUGGAGUGGUAUUCUUUAAUCUUCUGUACAUCUGCUAUUAUUGUUAGCAGUACAACACUUCUUGUCUCGAUAAACAAAUCUUCAAUUUUUCACCGGACAGUGUUCAAGAAAGAAUUGGUGCAAGGAGAAGGGGUUAUGCAGCGGAUUGGCCAGGGGCCACAGCCAGGGAGACACCAUGUCGAGAAGCUUACUGCAGAAGCACUUGAUUUUGACCUGGACAGGUACCACCUUGAAGCCAUGAAAUUAAAGUGAUUUCACUGACUAGUCGAGGAUAUUACUGGCCAUUUUGGGGCAGGAAUAGGAACUUCGAUAUAAGCACGUCGCUUCAUAGGAUCAUGGUAUAACUAGGGACCCUUGGUUAAUAGUUUCAUUUAACAUCAACAUUUUGAUUGGAAUAUGCGCUUUCGAUAGUUGGUGCUUUAUCAUUUAUGCUGCAGGAUAAAAACCUUGAAAUUACUGAACCCAUUGUUCUGACUGUCAAUAUUUUACAUUAAAAUGGUUUUGUGAGAGACGUGAACCAUUAAAUUGUCACCUUUAUGGUUCUUGUUACCUGUUCUUCCAUAUAUUUAUCUUAAUGUGAACGGUGCGGCUCAUUUUGCUGGGUUCGUUUCGCAUUA